rnacentral:rRNA from 1 species
CUUUACUAUAGCCUGGCAUUGUGUUCGGGCUUCGCUUGCGCAGGAUAGGUGGGAGACGUUGAAGCAGUCCUUGUGGGGAUUGUGGAGUCAUCAGUGAGAUACCACUCUGGCGAGGCUAGAAUUCUAACGGUUGCCCGUUACCCGGGAACCGGACAGUUUCAGGUGGGUAGUUUGACUGGGGCGGUCGCCUCCUAAAUUGUAACGGAGGCGCGCAAAGGUUCUCUUAGAUUGGUUGGAAAUCAAUCGUUAAGUGUAAAGGCAUAAGAGAGCUUGACUGCAACACCAACAAGUGGAGCAGGUACGAAAGUAGGCCUUAGUGAUCCGACGGUACUGAAUGGAAGGGCCGUCGCUCAACGGAUAAAAGUUA